AAAGAGAGAAGAAGGGGGAGAGAGAAAAGGAAAAGUAAAGACGGGUAGAGAGGAAGAAAGCAGUUACAGAAUAAUGGAAUGAAGGAAUGGACAUAAGAAGAUGAACUUAAGACCAGAAAUAAAAUGGAAAAAAAAGGGAGGGGGAAGACCAAAAUUACAAACAAGGAAUAUAACAGGAGGAGAAGGAUGAGAAAGAGGGGGAAGUGGAGGAAGGGGAGGAGUCUAGGCGACAAGGGAAGGAAAAGAGUGAAGCAGUUCGGAAAUCGAACGAACGCGAGUGGUAGCGUUAAGCAGAAUGACAGAAUAGCAGGAGGAUGUGUUCGAUAUUUGGAAAAAAAAUCAGGUAAAAAUAAACCAGCAAAUAAAAAAAAGCAAAACACGAGAAUGAAUGGAUGGGAGGCAAUUCUUGUGGCGAAGAGCAAAGGAGGAAUUUCUGUAAGGAAGGACAUAGCACCCACGUUCGCUCUCUUUCUCUCUUUUUUCUUUCCUUUUUCCGUGUGGAUUUUGACAGAAUAUAGGAAUGUGGAGGAAAAACACCACGUGAGCCGCUGUGAAACCAGCCAGUUUUUCUGACCACCCCUCCAGAACUCCUUCUCCCUGGCAUUGAAGCUACAGAUUUUGGACGGACAUAGUGAGCACAUAUGUAGUGUCUCUGAUACACAAUUCUGCCUGGAUAUACCUCAUCUUUGGAUACACUGUUUUUUUUCCUCUUCUGGAUUUACUCAUCCUGUUUCUUCUGAUAAAUUGUAUGGAAAGUGUAACCCUGUUUUCCAGAGGACAAAAUAACAUUCUUUCAUCUGGAAGGAAAAAAAAACCCAAAAAGCCAAACAUCUUUUAUACUCAACACCCAA